UACGAAGGGUGCAAGCGUUAAUCGGAAUUACUGGGCGUAAAGCGCACGUAGGCGGCUUUGUAAGUUAGAGGUGAAAGCCCGGGGCUCAACCCCGGAACUGCCUUUAAGACUGUAUCGCUUGAAUCCAGGAGAGGUGAGUGGAAUUCCGAGUGUAGAGGUGAAAUUCGUAGAUAUUCGGAAGAACACCAGUGGCGAAGGCGGCUCACUGGCCUGGUAUUGACGCUGAGGUGCGAAAGCGUGGGGAGCAAACAGG
rnacentral:rRNA from 1 species